UACGGGGGGGGCAAGCGUUGUUCGGAAUUACUGGGCGUAAAGGGCUCGUAGGCGGCCAACUAAGUCAGACGUGAAAUCCCUCGGCUUAACCGGGGAACUGCGUCUGAUACUGGAUGGCUUGAGUUUGGGAGAGGGAUGCGGAAUUCCAGGUGUAGCGGUGAAAUGCGUAGAUAUCUGGAGGAACACCGGUGGCGAAGGCGGCAUCCUGGACCAACACUGACGCUGAAGUGCGAAAGCAUGGGGAGCGAACAGG
rnacentral:rRNA from 1 species